rnacentral:rRNA from 1 species
GGGCGAAAGCCUGAUGCAGCGACGCCGCGUGAGGGAUGACGGCCUUUCGGGUUGUAAACCUCUUUCAGCAGGGAAGAAGCGAAAGUGACGGUACCUGCAGAAGAAAGCGCCGGCUAACUACGUGCCAGCAGCCGCGGUAAUACGUAGGGCGNCGAGCGUUGUUCCGGAAUUAUUGGGCGUAAAGAGCUCGUAGGCGGCUUGUCACGUCGGGUUGUGAAAGCCCGGGGCUUAACCCCGGGGUCUGCAGUCGAUACGGGCAGGCUAGAGUUUCGGUAGGGGAGAUCGGAAUUCCUGGUGUAGCGGUGAAAUGCGCAGAUAUCAGGAGGAACACCGGUGGCGAAGGCGGAUCUCUGGGCCGAUACUGACGCUGAGGAGCGAAAGCGUGGGGAGCGAACAGGAUUAGAUACCCUGGUAGUCCACGCCGUAAACGGUGGGCACUAGGUGUGGGCAACAUUCCACGUUGUCCGUGCCGCAGCUAACGCAUUAAGUGCCCCGCCUGGGGAGUACGGCCGCAAGGCUAAAACUCAAAGGAAUUGACGGGGGGCCCGCACAAGCGGCGGAGCAUGUGGCUUAAUUCGACGCAACGCGAAAAACCUUACCAAGGCUUGACAUACACCGGAAAACGUCUGGAGAAAGGCCCCCCCUUGUGGUCGGUGUACAGGUGGUGCAUGGCUGUCCUCAGCUCGUGUCGUGAGAUGUUGGGUU